CCAGACUCCUACGGGAGGCAGCAGUGGGGAAUAUUGGGCAAUGGAGGCAACUCUUACCCAGCAAUGCCGCGUGAAUGAAGAAGGUCUUCGGAUUGUAAAGUUCUUUAAUUGGGGACGAAAAAAAUGACGGUACCCAAGGAAUAAGCCCCGGCUAACUACGUGCCAGCAGCCGCGGUAAUACGUAGGGGGCAAGCGUUAUCCGGAUUUACUGGGUGUAAAGGGAGCGUAGACGGUUAAUCAAGUCAGAAGUGAAAGCGCAGGGCUCAACCUUGGGACUGCUUUUGAAACUGAGUAGCUAGAGUGCAGGAGAGGUAAGCGGAAUUCCUAGUGUAGCGGUGAAAUGCGUAGAUAUUAGGAGGAACACCAGUGGCGAAGGCGGCUUACUGGACUGUAACUGACGUUGAGGCUCGAAAGCGUGGGGAGCAAACAGGAUUAGAUACCCUCGUAC
rnacentral:rRNA from 1 species